UGGCCUACACCAAUGCUUCUUUACAAGC
rnacentral:piRNA from 1 species